rnacentral:misc_RNA from 1 species
CCAACACCGCCAUCUGCAUAGAAGUCGCCGUGCCCUGUGCUUCUCAGGCCGGAGACACGCACACAUGAGUCGGUGCCAAAGCCAUCACCCACUCGCAGAAGCUUGGUCUGCCUCCCUUUCUCUGCCCACUUUCUUACUCACACCCCUGGCACUCACAUGCGUUCUCACCCCUGUCGUUAUGCUUUCCCUGUGGCAUCGGCCUGUGCACAUGCACGCACCAGCACCCACCGCCGCUGUCUCUGCCUAACCAAAGCGUGAAAUGUGCCAUAGCCAGCAGCUAUCCACCCCUCUCUAUUGUUUUUCUUCUGCGGCUGUUGAUUGCAGACACGGUUCACGUGGUCUUGCGUUUGCAUGUGCGUCAUCAGCCAACACACGCACCACAGCAGGGAGAAGAAACAAGCACUCUACAUAGAUAUAGAAAGAGGUGCACGGGCGAACGAACGCGGCUGCGCUGCUCGAGGACUUGCGUUCGGGAGUCUUCCGCCCUCUCCCUCUGAAUCUCACUGUAAUCUCCAUUCAUUGUCGUGGCGAAGCUGCCGCGCACUGCGGCGCUGCUCUUCUUGCUGCUCUUCUAUUCCUUCCUUCGCUGAUCCGUAUCCUCAGCACGGCCUCGUGGCUGUGGGCACCGUCCAGAAAUGAAUCGUGGAGCACAUGCGUGCGCGUCGCCGCCUUUGCCGGCGGCGGCGGCGUCGGGAGCAGCCUCCCCUUCGUUUCGGGGCCGCUCCCGCGGGAACGGUGCGCACUGUAGCGGCAUCGCUUCCCUGCCGUCACCUCGUCGCAACUCUUCCUGCUCUCCCCACACAGGAACGCAUGGACAUGACCCAGCGGAUGACUUGGCGUUCUCUGUCGAGCGACCGCUGGCAAUGUCACCACUCGCGCUGGCGCUACAGGCACAGUGGCGCCAACUGCAGCAAGAUAUGCUGAGCCCGUCUGCGCUGCGUCCUGAGGAUGGUGACGCACGCGCUGCCCAGAUGGAAGACGACAUGCUGCGGGUGCUUCGCUCCAUUGCCGCUCGAGCCGACAUGGCGGUGAACGACGCUGUCCACACGGUCCCGUACCUUUUAGCUCUGGGACAGGUUCCUCUGCCGUCCCUACGCACGCAGGUGGUUGCACUAGCGGCGCUGCGCGGGGUGCUCUCGUCUCUCUCCGGCGUUUACGGAGACGAGGCGGCUUCGGCGUUUGUGCACGAUACGCUACUCGGUGAGCACCAGGCGCUGCAGGCACUGAGUCUGGCCGCAUUGAUUGCUCUGGAAGGAUUUCGAGCUGCUACAGGGCUGCACGACGGCGGCUCCACGAAGGCUGACGACCAUCGCCGCACAUCCUCGGCGCUUGGCUCUUCUCUUGCUGGAGUUCCCCUCGGCCGGAGUGGUCACCGCAGCCUGCUCUCACGAGGCCAGGGCGACGCACAAGCGGAGGGCGGAGCAUUGCGAGCGUCAUGGGUGCACCUGGAGGUGCCCGAAGCAGCACCGGCGUCGCUGUCACAUGUGCGCACCGCCUCGCGCCUCAACAAUGGUGCGGACACAUCGCUUGAAAAGCCGACGGCUCUGCGCGGUCGCAUGGUGCACGCUACACUGCAGCUUCUCCGCGACACUGCAGAAAUGUGUGGACCAGUGGCAGAUGCGCUGCUGUCCAGUGCCGCUCUGCUAAAGGCGUGCAUAGAUAGUCUUCACCGACUGCCGCCGCCACCACCACUGCCAGUUGGAAACGUGGCGGGUCUCGCCGGCGGACUCUCCACUGACAGUUCUGAAGCCAUCUAUGCAGUCUAUUUCCAUCACUGCGAGGACGUGGUCUCUUUGCUCUUGACGCUGCUGAACGCCGAGCCCAGGCGGCACAAUGAAGCGUCCCUGGUACUGUGCAGCUUCGACGCUCCUCGCGCUGUGUGCGCACUGGCGCAGCGCCUUGUGCGCGCCAAUCUCUUCACCUCCAGCGCGGUCUGCGAAGGAUCCAGCGCAGUCACUGAGGAAGAGGCUUCAAUGCUGCUGUGGAGCGCGCUCAAGGUGCUCGGCCGGCUCACACGCGGCUGCCCGGCUGCGGUGAGACUGUUCCUUAGCGAGAAUGCCAGCGUACCGGCCUUCCUUGUGCAGGUGCUGACCGUGCCGGUGGCCGAAAUACGAGAGGCAGGCGCGCUAUGGGUGGCAGCACUCUUAGAAACUCAACCACAGGCCUCUGCCGAGCUUGUCAGCGGUCUCCUUGACGACGCCUCGCUCCUCACGACGACGUCGUCGCCGGCUUCACCGGCAAAGGCGACGACGCUUUCUUCCUCUGCUCCCGUGCCCAUGUUCGUGGCAUCGUUGAUGGAGAUGCUGCGCUGGCGUGGGGCGCAGAUGCACGUCUUCAGCGUCUCUGCCAUCUUGUGCUGGCGGUGGCUGCUCUUGUCCGACCCAUCACGCGUCGCAGCGCUGCUGGUGCGCGACAGCAGCCUGCUGGCUACUCUAAUCGAGCUCAUAUUGCGCGGGGCGGCUUCCACCUCGUCGUCGUCCUCCGCUGCGCUACCUACACGGCUGGCCGCUUUAGAGGCACUGCACGUGUUCGCACUCUCCUACGCGUUGGGCAGCAUCGACACUCGUGUGCGUCUGGAAGCCCUGGUGGUGCGAGGCCAGCUCUCGCAUGCGACGCUGCGUCAGCUGCGGACGCAUGCGCACAUCAUCCUCGAGCGGACGCACCCGGCAUACUGGAACGCGUUCCCGGCCAUGGAGAUGGAGUUGCUGGAGGAGGAGGCAGAGCUCAGCGAGGAAAUGCGGCUGGCCGGCGCGACGGUGCGCACGUGCGGGACGGACGAGACGGCUCGGGGGGCCUGCUCAUCAGGCCCUUCCACAUCGAGUCUCAUGCGCCGUCGCGGUGGUUGUGGAAGACUCGCGGUUUGCAUCUCGACCGGUGCAGCGUGGCGGCAGCUCGUGCUGGAGAGUGUGUGGGAGUUGACAGCGGCUGUGGCGGCCGAUGCCUCUUCCACUGCCGUCCUGACAUUUUCUUCGGCGCGUAGCUCAGUAACGCGAGGUCGUGCGGCAUCCCCACAGCAGCAGCAGCCGGCAUUCUCGCACACCUCAGCCUUUCACCCACAUGCGGGGGUUUUCGCCGGGGGAGCGUUUGGGGCCUCGCCCAUACGCGUGCUUACGUCAGCAUCGUCUUUGCGUGCCACCGCAGCCCCAGCCCACUCGGCGGGGAGCGGGGUAGCGGAGGAUAUGGACGGAGACGGAAGUGCCGCAUCUGUGCUCGAUGCGUCAGCGCCUCCCAUCCUUACCCGAGCGCCCCGCACCAUUCGAGAGGCUACACUGCUUCCGACGCGGCAAAGCACGACGGCUUUUCGCUUCCGUGUGGUGCAGCAAGCAGAGAACCUCGAUGGCAUUUUUGUGCAAGACAGCAUGCGGGUAGUGUUGCGCCUCGCCCAGCACUACACCCAGACAUCCACCCAAAGCAGGGCGUCUGCUCAGAUCAGUCCGAAUGUGAUUCGUGCGGCAAAGGAGCGGCGGCGCUGUGGCGAUCUACUACUCCAUAGCUCGCCAGGAGAAACUCCCCGGUCGCGCUCGCGCUCGACAUCGCCGCCGCUGCCGCUGGGGCCGGGCGCCUCUGCGGCCAUGGCAUCGCCGAGUGUUGUCUUCGGAACGGCGCCGCGCUUUGUAGAUACCAGUGCGCGGAUAGAAAAGGAGCGCAACCCAUUCGUCCCUCUUACGAAGCUGGCGGAUAGGCGGCAGGCGCAGCUGAAGCGUCGUCGGUGGGGGGUCAAGGAGCUGCAGCGGGAGGAUGUACUCCUGUUUCUAGUCCGCUACACUCAUCUCAUGACGGAGCUGCCGGACGCCAUUGCGGCUGUCGAGGAUCAUCUGUACUACUUGCGUCGGCAACUGCAGCUGUGCCCAACGCGUGUGGUACGGCGGCGGAGCGUACUGAACGACCUGUACAUGAACGUGUACCCCAAACUGCACUUGUUUCUGCGCUACGUCGAUCAGCAGGCACGGCGGUCGCGCAGCGUGCUGCAGCUGCUCUCCACUUUCAGUGGUGGCACCAUACACUCCGGGAACGUCUUGGAUGUGUAUGACGCAGUGGGGCGGUGCACUGGACUCUCAGCCGUGGAGUAGCAGGCAGACAUGGCGCUGAAGGGGCGAUGGUGCAGGGGAGAGUGAGGGAAGGUGGGGGAGGGGAAGAGAAAAACAAGAAAACAGAGGACGCAGAGGAGGCCAGAUGCGCGCCGUGCAGUUGACGGCGCGACACACAUCCUGACUCUUCGCCUGCACUUCUUUUGGUUCCGGAUAUGUUUUUCUCUUCCCCUUCCCUUCUCCCUUUGUGCCGACUGGUGUCUAUCGUGUGUCCUUCAUUGCCCACCGUCGUUCCGCGCGCGGCUGCCAAUCGUGUCUUUCGUUGUCGAUGUCUGCAGUGUAGAUUGCCAGCCAUUAGUAGCUAGCUGCUUCGUUUUUUUUUCUUUUAGUCUACGGCAGUGCGUGUUCCUCGCGCAGUCGCCAAGUCGCAAGGGAAGGAGAUCCUGUGCCUCUUGCCAGCGGCACGAAUGCUUCAUGCGACGCCGCCUACGCACAGGCAAGCGAAGGCGUACGCAAGCGUCUGUGCUUUCGUGGAAGUGCAAGUUGUGAUUUGAUCAGCUUUCCGUUCUCUCUUGGCCGCAACGGAGAGAGAGGAAAGACAAGCACAAGGCGACAUGCGUGCCCACUAGGGUGGUGAUGGUGGUGGCGACAGCAGAAGAACACGAGCCAAGACACGGAGGCGGUUUCGAUAGUCGACGGCAAGUGGUGAUCGAGAAAGAGGGAGGGGGAGGGGGCAGUGUGGCUGGCCCGCUUGUGGCUGGCGCAUGAGUGUAGAUGUCCCGCAGAGGGAGAAAAGGAUACGGCACCCUCUCCUCUAGCCUGGCCAUUGGCAUUGCCCUUUUC